CAUCAUGACAUCAAUUAGAUGAGGAGGGCAUGUUGCAUCUUCUUUUAAAUAAUAAUAUAUUUUCUUGCUUUGCAGUUUCUUGCAACAAUAAAAGGAAAGGAAGAGGAAAAUACAAAUCUAAAACUGUGGAUUUUAAGAUUAAACAUGGAGGAAAAAAUCAAAAUUAUGAUUACAGAUGACAUUGAUAGAGUUGUAGGUUCUGGAGCUAGAGAUAUUGUCAAUUACUCUGGUUGGAUCAUGAGAACCACUAUCUCAUUUCGAGAUGGAAAUUGGCAGAAGAUAUUUUUAAAGCAUGGAGAAGCAAUGUGACUUAGGGUCAGGGAUAAAUUUGAAGUUCUAAAUGGGCUGCCAGAGUAUAAGUUACAAGGCUUUGUGAUAAGCACUAUACAAAGACUUUUCAGAUCAUGAAAAGCUCGAUUACAUAUUAUCAACUCUAGCUAUGACAUAAAGAUCGAUUGUCUAAUCGACCUGAGGAUGUUAAGUUGGAUGACUGGAAGCACCUAGUGGAAUAUUUUGGCAGUGAUGAAUUCAAGGUGACUAAAUAAAUAAUUAUAAUUUUACACAUAAUAAUAACUAUUUACUGAUUGAUUGGAGAUUUCCUAAUCUACUAACUUAAGUGCAGGUCGUUAGUGAGAGAAACAAAAAAAAUAGAGAAAAAAAUAACCAAACAUUCGUGUGGCACAAAAUCAUUUGCAGAAGUAGAGGAAUCUGCGGUGAAAAUACAUUAUAUUUGUUCUCUUGUUAUUAUGUAUAUAAAUUUGAUAUUUAUACAAUUAUUUGCUUAUAUUUUUCCUUUUGAUAUUACAGAGAGAUCCCCUUACAGGAGAAAAGGAGAUACCAGAUAAAAUUUGGGAGAUCCAACAUACAUGUAAGAAUGUUAAUGGAGAACGUGUAUGGUUGGAUCCACAAUCCUAAGAGAUUCAUGGACAGCUUCAUCAACUUUUCAUUGAACAACAGUCAGAAGAGAUCGAGAAUCCCAUGACUAGCGAUGAGAUUUUAUCUUCGGUUCUUGGGGUGAGAUCAGGAUAUCUUCGAGGAAAAGGACAUGGGAAAAAGCCUCCUAAAAAGAGUCAAAUGCAACAAGAAAACAUAGAGGCCAACGUGUCUUUAGCGGUAGAAAGUAUGCGUCAAGAAAUGCAACUUGACAUGGAAAGAAGGUUGCAAGAAGAGCGUGAACAAAUGGCAGCUGACUUGAAAAGAGAAAUGGAUCAAGAUUUCCAAAAGAAACUGGAAGAGUAACGUGAACACAUGAAAGGAGAAGUAGAAAAAAUAUUUCAAGAAAAAAUGGUUGCUCUCAUGGCUGAAAUGCAACAGGGACAUUCUUAAACAAUGGGUUGACCAAGGAGGAACAUGAAGGCGUAGAAUGCAUUUUUGGUUUUUGAUCAUAUGUAUGAAUAUGAUAAAACUGAAGCACUAUGUCGUUCUUAAAAUAUAUACGGUUGACUUCUUAUUAAGGAAUGUAGUUAUAAUAUUUGAUUGG